rnacentral:rRNA from 2 species
CCUAAACGGCGAAACUGCGAAUGGCUCAUUAAAUCAGUUAUCGUUUAUUUGAUAGUACCUACUACAUGGAUAACCGUGGUAAUUCUAGAGCUAAUACAUGCUAAAAAUCCCGACUUCGGAAGGGAUGUAUUUAUUAGAUUAAAAACCAAUGCCCUUCGGGGCUCACUGGUGAUUCAUAAUAACUUCUCGAAUCGCAUGGCCUUGCGCUGGCGAUGGUUCAUUCAAAUUUCUGCCCUAUCAACUUUCGACGGCUGGGUCUUGGCCAGCCAUGGUGACAACGGGUAACGGAGGGUUAGGGCUCGACCCCGGAGAAGGAGCCUGAGAAACGGCUACUACAUCCAAGGAAGGCAGCAGGCGCGCAAAUUACCCAAUCCCGACACGGGGAGGUAGUGACAAUAAAUACUGAUACAGGGCUCUUUUGGGUCUUGUAAUUGGAAUGAGUACAAUUUAAAUCCCUUAACGAGGAACAAUUGGAGGGCAAGUCUGGUGCCAGCAGCCGCGGUAAUUCCAGCUCCAAUAGCGUAUAUUAAAGUUGUUGCAGUUAAAAAGCUCGUAGUUGAACCUUGGGCCUGGCUGGCCGGUCCGCCUCACCGCGUGCACUGGUCCGGCCGGGCCUUUCCCUCUGGGGAGCCGCAUGCCCUUCACUGGGUGUGUCGGGGAACCAGGACUUUUACUGUGAAAAAAUUAGAGUGUUCAAAGCAGGCCUAUGCUCGAAUACAUUAGCAUGGAAUAAUAGAAUAGGACGUGCGGUUCUAUUUUGUUGGUUUCUAGGACCGCCGUAAUGAUUAAUAGGGACAGUCGGGGGCAUCAGUAUUCAAUUGUCAGAGGUGAAAUUCUUGGAUUUAUUGAAGACUAACUACUGCGAAAGCAUUUGCCAAGGAUGUUUUCAUUAAUCAGGAACGAAAGUUAGGGGAUCGAAGACGAUCAGAUACCGUCGUAGUCUUAACCAUAAACUAUGCCGACUAGGGAUCGGGCGGUGUUAUUUUUUGACCCGCUCGGCACCUUACACGAAAGUAAAGAGGUGGGUUCUGGGGGGAGA